rnacentral:rRNA from 1 species
AGCAGCCGCGGUAAUUCCAGCUCCAAUAGCGUAUAUUAAAGUUGUUGCAGUUAAAAAGCUCGUAGUUGAAUUUCGGGAUUGACGUGAUGGUCGUGCCUUACGGGGUAUGAACUGUCGCAGUUGAUUUCUCACCUUCUGGAGAAGCUUGAUGUCCUUAAUUGGGUGUCUUGCGGAACCAGGGCCUUUACCUUGAAAAAUUAGAGUGUUUAAAGCAGGCAUUUUGCUCGAAUACAUUAGCAUGGAAUAAUAGAAUAGGACGGCAUGGUUCUAUUUUGUUGGUUUCUAGGAUCACCGUAAUGAUUAAUAGGGAUAGUUGGGGGCAUUAGUAUUCAAUUGUCAGAGGUGAAAUUCUUGGAUUUAUUGAAGACUGACUACUGCGAAAGCAUUUGCCAAGGAUGUUUUCAUUAAUCAAGAACGAAAGUUAGGGGACCGAAGACGAUCAGAUACCGUCGUAGUCUUAACCAUAAACUAUGCCGACUAGGAAUCAGACGAUGUUAAUUUUUAAUGUACUCGUUUGGUA